UAUUAUAAAUAAAGAGUCGGGCCUGCUCGGUGAACAUAUUGUUUUAACAGCUGCGGUAUUUUAACUGUACUAAGGUAGCAUAAUAAUUUGCCUUAUAAUUUGAGGCUAGAAUGAAUGGUUUGACGAAGGUUAAACUGUCUCUAUUUUAUUUUUUAGAAUUUAAUUUACAAAGUGAAAAAGCUUGUAUGUCUUAAAGGGACGAGAAGACCCUAAUGAGCUUUAAUUUUAUUAGUUUUCUUUAUUAUAAUGAAGAGAUGAUUAUAUAAAUUUUAAUUGGGGUGAUUAAGGAAUAAUAUGUUAUAGGUUAGUAACUUCCUUAAAUUAAAUAUUGUUAGAUAAAUUAACCAAUGAUAUUGCUUAUAAUAGAGUUACCAUAGGGAUAACAGCGUAAUUUAUUUUGAGAGUUCUUAUUGAAAAAUGAGAUUGCGACCUCGAUGUUGGAUUAAAGUAACCUUAAGGUGCAGAAGCUUUAAAAGGUAAAUCUGUUCGAUUUUUAAAACUUUACAUGAU
rnacentral:rRNA from 1 species